rnacentral:rRNA from 1 species
UCAAGCUACUAAGAGCAUGCGUGUGGAUGCCUUGGCGCAAGUAGGCGAUGAAGGACGUGGCCAGCUGCGAUAAGCCUCGGGGAGAUGCAAGCAAUCUGUGAUCCGGGGAUGUCCGAAUGGGGAAACCCAACUGUUGCGAACAACAGUUAUCGUAUUCUGAAUACAUAGGGGUACGAAGCGAACCCGGGGAAGUGAACCAUCUUAGUACCCGGAGGAAGAGAAAACAACCGUGAUUCCGAUAGUAGUGGCGAGCGAAAUCGGAACAGCCUAAACCAGGCGAUUCGAAAGGAGAGCCUGGGGUUGCAGGACCACAAACAUUAAGUGGGCGGUGACGGGGCGACCUGUCAGCGGUCACUUAGUGUAAAGAGGUAUAGGGAGGGGUUAAUAGAACGGUCUGGAAAGGCCGGCCAUAGAGGGUGACAGCCCCGUAUAUGAAAAUGCCAUCCUAACUUCGAGUGGCUCCUAAGUACCGCGGGACACGUGGAACCCUGCGGGAAUCUACCGGGACCAUCCGGUAAGGCUAAAUACUCACUUGCGACCGAUAGUGAACUAGUACCGUGAGGGAAAGGUGAAAAGAACCCCUGCUAGGGGAGUGAAAUAGUACCUGAAACCGCAUGCUUACAAGCAGUUGAAGGGCUAUGCCGGAAAUCGCAAGAGGACCGGAAUGCCUGACAUCGUGCCUAUUGAAUAAUGAGCUGGCUAGUUAAUCUCAGUGGCAAGGUUAAGCGAAAGCGAGCCGCAGCGAAAGCGAGUCUGAAUAGGNNUCUGAAUAGGGCGUUCAGUCGCUGGGAUUAGACGCGAAGCGGGAUGAUCUACCCUUGGCCAGGAUGAAAUCCGUGUAACAGCGGAUGGAGGUCCGAACCAGUGUUGGUUGAAAACAGCUUGGAUGAGCUGAGGGUAGGGGUGAAAGGCUAAUCAAAUUCCGUGAUAGCUCGUUCUCUCCGAAAUAGCUUUAGGGCUAGCCUCGCGGGGUCCGUACCGGUGGUAGAGAUCUGGAUGAACUAGGGGCCUUCCCAGGUUACCGAAUUCAACCAAACUUCGAAUGCCGGUAAUGAGUACCGCGGGAGUCAGACUGUGGGGGCUAAGCUUCAUAGUCAAAAGGGGAAGAGCCCAGACCAUCAACUAAGGUCCCUAAAUUCAUGCUAAGUGGGAAAGGAAGUCGAGUGCCUCAGACAGCCAGGAGGUUGGCUUAGAAGCAGCCAUCCUUUAAAGAAAGCGUAAUAGCUCACUGGUCGAGGAACUCGGUGCCGACAAUCCAACGGGGCUCAAGCAUGAUACCGAAGUUAUGGAUCCGAUGCGCAAGCAUCUGGGUGGUAGGAGAGCGUUCUUAAGGAAGUGAAGGCGUACCGUGAGGAGCGCUGGAUCGUUAGGAAGUGACUCUGCCAGCAUAAGUAGCGAUAAACCAGGUGAGAACCCUGGUCGCCGCAAGUCUAAGGUUUCCUGAGAAAGGUUAAUCCGCUCAGGGUUAGUCGGGGCCUAAGGCGAGGCCGAAAGGCGUAGCUGAUGGACACACGGUUAACAUUCCGUGACUACCUUUGUUCGAUCAAGACCGAAGGGGGGACGCAGCGUAGAAGUCCGGGUGCGCAAUGGUUACAAUCCCGGGUGAAGCGAGAUCCGAAUAGGUAAAUCCGUCGGGUCGUCUGCCAGGAAAAUCCUCUAAGGAGAAUCGAGGUACCCGUACCACAAACAGACACAUGUGGACGAGAAGAGUAUUCUCAGGCGCUCGGGUGAUGGGUUGUUCAGGAACUAGGCAAUAUAGCUCCGUAACUUCGGGAUAAGGAGUGCCUCCAGCAAUGGGGGCCGCAGUGAAUGGCGUCAGGCGACUGUUUAACAAAAACACAGGUCUCUGCUAAGUCAAUAAAACGACGUAUAGGGGCUGACGCGUGCCCGGUGCUGGAAGGUUAAAGGGAGAGGUUAGCCGCAAGGCGAAGCUUUGAACUGAAGCCCCAGUGAACGGCGGCCGUAACUAUAACGGUCCUAAGGUAGCGAAAUUCCUUGUCGGGUAAGUUCCGACCUGCACGAAUGGCGUAACGAAAGUGCGACUGUCUUGCCGACUGACACGGCGAACUUGUAGUGCCGGUGAAGAUGCCGGUUGCCCGCAACUAGACGGAAAGACCCCGUGCACCUUUACUAUACCUUUAC